GCGCUUGCUUCGGCGGCACAUAUACUGAAAUUGGAACAAUACAGAGAAGAUUAGCUUGGCCCCUGUUCAAGAAUGACAUGCAAAUUCAUGAAGUGCUCUAUAUUUUU
rnacentral:snRNA from 1 species